UACGAAGGGGGCUAGCGUUGCUCGGAAUGACUGGGCGUAAAGGGCGCGUAGGCGGCCUGCUAAGUCGAACGUGAAAUCCCCGAGCUCAACUCGGGAACUGCGUCCGAUACUGGCAGGCUUGAAUCCGGGAGAGGGAUGCGGAAUUCCAGGUGUAGCGGUGAAAUGCGUAGAUAUCUGGAGGAACACCGGUGGCGAAGGCGGCAUCCUGGACCGGCAUUGACGCUGAGGCGCGAAAGCGUGGGGAGCAAACAGG
rnacentral:rRNA from 1 species